rnacentral:lncRNA from 10 species
AUCAGGAGAUGGGGAGGCAGAGGAAAGAAAGGAGAGAUCUGUGGAUCCCGUGAGCACCCCAAAUUGGAACCACUCCUUACCGUGCCUCAAGGAAGCAACAGACCUCCAAACUGCAUGGUGUACCUCAAAAGAGCAAGACCCAAGCAAAAAGGUUAAAGAAGUCCACAAUUCCUCAACAAAACUUUGGGACCAGACACAUUUCGGGAUUCAGAACUUUUUGGGUUUUAAAGAUAUAAGAGUAAGUGUUCUUUAUAUUAUUACAUGGCAACUCCAAUGCAGUACUCUGUAAUAAAGCACCCUGAUAUUUCUACAGAAACAUUUAUUAAAGUUUACAUUGAAUAAA